rnacentral:snoRNA from 1 species
GUAGAGACUAGAGUCUCACCUUGACAUGCAUUGUUGUCUUGGUGUGCUAGAGUACUCUUAGAGAAACUACUGGUCCUAUUCACCGACUGGCCUCACUCAUUGUCCAGUCAGCCACAUGGGCAGUUACAAGU